UACGGAGGGUGCGAGCGUUGUCCGGAAUCACUGGGCGUAAAGGGCGCGUAGGCGGCCUGAUAAGUAGGGGGUGAAAUCCUGCGGCUUAACCGCAGGGCUGCCUUCUAAACUGUCAGGCUAGAGCACAGUAGAGGCAGGUGGAAUUCCCGGUGUAGCGGUGAAAUGCGUAGAGCUCGGGAAGAACAUCGGUGGCGAAAGCGCUCUGCUGGACUGCAACUGACACUCAGGGACGAAAGCUAGGGGAGCGAAUGGG
rnacentral:rRNA from 1 species